rnacentral:lncRNA from 1 species
GACAUAUAGGUUUCCAAUACCAGACGCAGGUCCAGUAGGUGGGGGAUAUAGGCUUCCAACCCCAGAAGCAGGUCCAGAAGGAGGAUUCGGGCUUCCAACCCGAGACACUGGUCCAGGAGGUGGGAUGUUCGGGCUUCCAACCAUAGACGCAGGUCCAGGAGGUGGGGGAUAUAGGCUUCCAACCCCAGAAGCAGGUCCAGGAGGAGCAUUCAGGCUUCCAACCCCAGACACUGGUCCAGGAGAUGGGACGUUCGGGCUUCCAACCGUAGACGUAGGUCCAGGAGGUGGGGGAUAUAGACUUCCAACCCCAGAAGCAGGUUCAGGAGGAGGGGGAUAUAGGUUUCCAACCCCAGACACUGGUCCAAGAGGUGGGGGAUAUAGGCUUCCAACCCCAGAAGCAGGUCCACGAGGAGGGGGAUAUAGGUUUCCAACCCCAGACACUGGUCUAGGAGGUGGGACAUUUGGGCUUCCAACCCUAGACGCAGGUCCAGGAGGUGGGACAUUUGGGCUUCCAACCCUAGACGCAGGUCCAGGAGGUGGGACAUUUGGGCUUCCAACCCUAGACGCAGGUCCAGGAGGUGGGACAUUUGGGCUUCCAACCCUAGACGCAGGUCCAGGAGGUGGGGCAUUUGGGCUUCCAACCCCAGAUGCAGGUGUAGAAGGUGGGGG